CGUUGCUCCGCGCCCUUCCUACUACCAUCAUGGGAACGUUGGACGCGUUGUGGAUAAUGGCCUCCCGUGCGCCUCGGCGUGCGGAUGGCCCAAAUGUGAACCCUUGGUGUCGCACGUCACGACCAUUGGUGGUUGAUGAUACGACUCUUAUGUUGUGAUAUGCUGCGUCUACCUCGUCGGUUUAUAUCAUUGGAUGUGAUUCAUCCAAAUAGACCCAAUGCCAGCUUGUGGCCUGCAUCG
rnacentral:misc_RNA from 1 species